rnacentral:rRNA from 1 species
AACGAACGCUGGCGGCAUGCCUAACACAUGCAAGUCGAACGAGACCUUCGGGUCUAGUGGCGCACGGGUGCGUAACGCGUGGGAAUCUGCCCUUGGGUUCGGAAUAACAGUUAGAAAUGACUGCUAAUACCGGAUAAUGUCUUCGGACCAAAGAUUUAUCGCCCAGGGAUGAGCCCGCGUAGGAUUAGCUAGUUGGUGAGGUAAAGGCUCACCAAGGCGACGAUCCUUAGCUGGUCUGAGAGGAUGAUCAGCCACACUGGGACUGAGACACGGCCCAGACUCCUACGGGAGGCAGCAGUGGGGAAUAUUGGACAAUGGCGAAAGCCUGAUCCAGCAAUGCCGCGUGAGUGAUGAAGGCCUUAGGGUUGUAAAGCUCUUUUACCCGGGAUGAUAAUGACAGUACCGGGAGAAUAAGCCCCGGCUAACUUCGUGCCAGCAGCCGCGGUAAU